ensembl:lncRNA
CCCGUCAAUGUCAGCGGUGACAGUCACAUUAAAACAGAUUUGAAACCUUUAAACAAAUCAGUAUGGAUCUUCUAUUUGAUCUUCCAGAACAUUCUCAGACAUGACUCUGGUCAGUAUCAGUGUCAAGGUGGAGGGAGUACGAGUCAUGCCAUCACUGUCAAUGUCUAUGAUCAUGCUGAAAUUACCACUAUUACACAGAAUAAUCUCACAGAUCAUGGUGAAAUUACCACUGUUACACAGAAUAAUCUCACAGUCAGCACGACUUCUGUUCCUGACAAUACAGAAACCUUGUUGCUGUACGUGUACUCUGCUGCUGGGAUCACCACAUUCGUCAUCAUAGUCAUAAUCAUAUCUGUCAUAUCAAUGCGAGGCUGUAAAGGGAAGCCAAAGAAAGACAGUCAAGUUGAAAAUCAGAUGGAGAUCCCCAUGGUGGAUCAAUUCUUUUCAAAAGUCAUCUUCAAGCACUUGGAAAGAGGAAAGAGGAAGACCCUCUGCUCUGCGAUCUCGGAGAUGUAACAAGGACACCAUCAUCGUAACUCAAUGAGCUGACAUUAUCAAGAUAUGAUGAACAGGCAUAUUGACCAAGGAGGGCAAUAUGCCUGCUCGAGGAGGAGAGCAGCUAUGUUGUGUUUGCUGCUCCCAACCACAAGCUGUACAAUUAGCAGGUGAUG